GCCUUUGUGGUGUAAUGGUCAGCACACUGAGCCGGUAUUUCAGAGGUCCGUGGUUCGAUCCCCGGCGAAGGCA
rfam:Stegodyphus mimosarum contig76842, whole genome shotgun sequence.